CUGAAUACCGUCGUUUACUGUCAGUUUCGACUGACUCUAUCCGAGAAGGGUGUCUGCCCUUUCAACUAGAUGGUAAUCUAUUGGACUACCAUGGUUGUUACGGGUAACGGAGAAUUAGGGUUCGACUCCGGAGAGGGAGCCUUAGAAACGGCUACCACGUCCAAGGAAGGCAGCAGGCGCGAAACUUAUCCACUGUUGAGUAUGAGAUAGUGACUAAAAAUAUAAAGACUCAUCCUUUUGGAUGAGUUAUUUCAAUGAGUUGAAUAUAAAUUAUUCUUCGAGUAGCAAGGAGAGGGCAAGUCUGGUGCCAGCAGCCGCGGUAAUUCCAGCUCUCCUAGUGUAUCUCGUUAUUGCUGCGGUUAAAAAGCUCGUAGUUGGAUCUAGGUUACGUGCCGCAGUUCGCAAUUUGCGUUAACUGUGGUCGUGACUUCUAAUUUGCUGGUUUGAGGUUGGGUUCGCCCUUCAACUGCCAGCAGGUUUACCUUGAAUAAAUCAGAGUGCUCAAUACAGGCGCUUGCUUGAAUAGCUCAUCAUGGAAUAAUGAAACAGGACUUCGGUUCUUUUUGUUGGUUCUAGAAUUGAUCUAAUGGUUAAGAGGGACAAACCGGGGGCAUUCGUAUCAUUACGCGAGAGGUGAAAUUCGUGGGCCGUAGUGAGACGCCCAAUAGCGAAAGCAUUUGCCAAGAAUGUCUUCAUUAAUCAAGAACGAAAGUCAGAGGUUCGAAGGCGAUUAGAUACCGCCCUAGUUCUGACCGUAAACGAUGCCAUCUCGCGAUUCGGAGGGUUCAUGCCCUACCGAGGAGCUACCCGGAAACGAAAGUCUUUCGGUUCCGGGGGUAGUAUGGUUGCAAAGCUGAAACUUAAAGAAAUUGACGGAAGGGCACCACAAGGCGUGGAGCUUGCGGCUUAAUUUGACUCAACACGGGAAAACUCACCCGGUCCGGACACUAUUAGGACUGACAGAUUGAAAGCUCUUUCUCGAUUUGGUGGUUGGUGGUGCAUGGCCGUUCUUAGUUGGUGGAGUGAUUUGUCUGGUUUAUUCCGAUAACGAGCGAGACUCUAGCCUGCUAAAUAGUCGACGAAUCUUCGGGUUCGUAUAACUUCUUAGAGGGAUAAGCGGUGUUUAGCCGCACGAGAUUGAGCGAUAACAGGUCUGUGAUGCCCUUAGAUGUCCGGGGCUGCACGCGUGCUACACUGGUGGAGUCAGCGGGUUUUUCCUAUGCCGAAAGGUAUCGGUAAACCGUUGAACUUCUUCCAUGUCCGGGUAUAGGGUAUUGUAAUUAUUACCCUUAAACGAGGAAUGCCUAGUAAGUGUGAGUCAUCAGCUCACGUUGAUUACGUCCCU
rfam:Caenorhabditis japonica strain DF5081 Contig8857.1, whole genome shotgun sequence.